GUGGAUGAUGAGGUACGAAGUGAAGAAAAGUGGGACAGAUAUCAGGACUGGAACCAUUUAACAGCUUCUUAAAUGCUGCAUUGAAAGGAUGAAACAGAACGGAUGUGAACAAGAGUUCCCUGAGAAAGGACAGCUCUUAGAGAGAUAGGAUAAUUACUGGACUCAAGAAGAUACCAAAUCAUGGUGUGCAUUUCUGCGUUGUGUUUGGAAGAGGAACUAGGAUUGUUAUGAAAAGGAAGGAUGUGUUCAACUUAGAAGAAUUAAACCUCAACCAUCUGUCUCUUCCAAAUGGCAUUCUUGAUUCUAAAAAUCUUAAGUAGAGUGUAAAGUUAUUGUUGGAUACUGUAGUAGCCAGGCUAAGCUGAGCUAUUCAGUGGAACAGAUAAACCCGAAAAUCUCAGUGGCUUAACACAACAAGAUUUAUUUCUUUUUAGUAUCACAAUCUGAUGUAGAUUGGGUUGGUCUCCUGCUUGGCUUUCCAUCAAGUGACAGCUCAGGGAUCCAAGUUGCUUUUAUUUGGAAACUGUCAUCUUGAGAGCAUUUUGUUUCCAGCUGUAUGGACAGGAGAUCCAGAAGGUGUGGAGAAGUGCAUCCUUCCUGGAUCACAAAUGAUACAUCACUUUAGCUCACAUUCCAUUGUUAAGAAUUAGUGACAUGAUCCCACUGGGAUUCAUGGGGUCUGGGAUAUGGAACACUUGGAUAUUUGGCGAGCAUGAACAAUCUUUGCCAUAGAAACAUUGCCUCUAUAAUGUUAUUCUAUAUCCCUUAUCUUCUCAUGGUAGAUUUCACAUAGGAUUAGUAUCAGGAAAACGUUUUUCUCUCCUAAAAUGUUGGUAUUCUUCUUUUUUCCCUCUGGAGUCAGGAACUUUAGAUUUAAUAUUAAUGACUAUCUAAUCUGAGAUUUUUAGUAGCAUCAUGUAUCCUAUUUCUCUAUUGUGUUUCUGGAAUA
rnacentral:lncRNA from 10 species